UACGUAGGGUGCAAGCGUUGUCCGGAAUUAUUGGGCGUAAAGAGCUCGUAGGCGGUUUGUCGCGUCUGCUGUGAAAACUCGGGGCUUAACUCCGGGCCUGCAGUGGGUACGGGCAGACUAGAGUGCGGUAGGGGAGACUGGAAUUCCUGGUGUAGCGGUGAAAUGCGCAGAUAUCAGGAGGAACACCAGUGGCGAAGGCGGUGCUCUGGGCCGGAACUGACGCUGAGGAGCGAAAGCGUGGGGAGCAAACAGG
rnacentral:rRNA from 1 species